rnacentral:rRNA from 1 species
GACGAACGCUGGCGGCGUGCUUAACACAUGCAAGUCGAACGGAAAGGCCUGCUUUCCCUUGUGGAUUGCGGGUACUCGAGUGGCGAACGGGUGAGUAACACGUGAGUGAUCUGCCCCCAACUUGGGUAUAAGCCUGGGAAACUGGGUCUAAUUCCCGAUAGGACUGCAGGGUGGUGCCUGUGGUGGAAAACGAUUUUCUAGUGGUUGGGGAUGAGCUCGCGGCCUAUCAGCUUGUUGGUGGGGUAAUGGCCUACCAAGGCGGCGACGGGUAGCCGGCCUGGGAGGGGGGACGGCCACAUUGGGACUGAGAUACGGCCCAGACUCCUACGGGAGGCAGCAGUGGGGAGUAUUGCACAAUGGGCGGAAGCCUGAUGCAGCGACGCCGCGUGGGGGAUGACGGCCUUCGGGUUGUAAACUCCUUGCGACCGCGAGGAAGCCACCUGGUUGGAAGGGUGGUGACGGUAGUGGUAGAAGAAGCACCGGCUAACUACGUG